GAAAUGCGAUAAGUAAUGUUAAUUGCAGAAUUCAGUGAAUCAUCGAAUCUUUGAACGCACAUUGCGCUCGCCAGUAUUCUGGCGAGCAUGCCUGUUCGAGCGUCAUUUCAACCAUCAAGCUCUGCUUGCGUUGGGGAUCCGCGGCUGCCCGCGGUCCCUCAAAAACAGUGGCGGGCUCGCUAGUCACACCGAGCGUAGUAACUCUACAUCGCUAUGGUCGUGCGGCGGGUUCUUGCCGUAAAACCCCCAAUUUCUAAGGUUGACCUCGGAUCAGGUAGGAAUACCCGCUGAACUUAAGC
rnacentral:misc_RNA from 1 species